rnacentral:tRNA from 1 species
GACUGCGUAGCUCAGCUGGCAGAGCAUUGGGCUAGUAUUCCAAAGGUUGUAGGUUCGAUUCCCACCGUGGCCA